rnacentral:rRNA from 1 species
CCUACGGGAGGCAGCAGUGGGGAAUAUUGGGCAAUGGAGGAAACUCUGACCCAGCGACGCCGCGUGCGGGAUGAAGGCCUUCGGGUUGUAAACCGCUUUCAGCAGGGAAGAAGCGAAAGUGACGGUACCUGCAGAAGAAGCACCGGCUAACUAUGUGCCAGCAGCCGCGGUAAUACAUAGGGUGCAAGCGUUGUCCGGAAUUAUUGGGCGUAAAGAGCUCGUAGGUGGUUCGUCACGUCGGAUGUGAAAAUCUGGGGCUUAACCCCAGACCUGCAUUCGAUACGGGCGAGCUUGAGUAUGGUAGGGGAGUCUGGAAUUCCUGGUGUAGCGGUGGAAUGCGCAGAUAUCAGGAGGAACACCAAUGGCGAAGGCAGGACUCUGGGCCAUUACUGACACUGAGGAGCGAAAGCGUGGGGAGCGAACAGGAUUAGAUACCCUGGUAGUCCACGCCGUAAACGGUGGGCACUAGUUGUGGGGACCUUCCACGGUCUCUGCGACGCAGCUAACGCAUUAAGUGCCCCGCCUGGGGAGUACGAUCGCAAGAUUAAAACUCAAAGAGUAGUAGCGCGNGAGACGCGACGACGACGACGACGAGGAGGAGG